AUUGAACGCUGGCGGCAUGCCUUACACAUGCAAGUCGAACGGUAACGGGCCUUCGGGUGCCGACGAGUGGCGAACGGGUGAGUAAUGCAUCGGAACGUACCUUUCAGUGGGGGAUAACGUAGCGAAAGUUACGCUAAUCCCGCAUAUUCUGUGAGCAGGAAAGCAGGGGAUCGCAAGACCUUGCGCUGAUUGAGCGGCCGAUGUCAGAUUAGCUAGUUGGUGAGGUAAAGGCUCACCAAGGCGACGAUCUGUAGCGGGUCUGAGAGGAUGAUCCGCCACACUGGAACUGAGACACGAUCCAGACUCCUACGGGAGGCAGCAGUGGGGAAUUUUGGACAAUGGGGGCAACCCUGAUCCAGCCAUGCCGCGUGAGUGAAGAAGGCCUUCGGGUUGUAAAGCUCUUUCGGUCGGGAAGAAAUCGCAUGGGUUAAUGCCCUGUGCGGAUGACGGUACCGGCAUAAGAAGCACCGGCUAACUACGUGCCAGCCGCCGCCGUAAUAC
rnacentral:rRNA from 1 species